AAACUCCUUUUCUGUGGGACGAGAGAGGACGGUACCACAGGAAUAAGUCACGGCUAACUACGUGCCAGCAGCCGCGGUAAUACGUAGGUGGCGAGCGUUAUCCGGAAUUACUGGGCGUAAAGCGUACGCAGGCGGCUUGUUUAGUCUGACGUGAAAUCUCCCGGCUUAACUGGGAGAGGUCGUUGGAAACUGACAAGCUUGAGGCAAUGAGAGGGGCAUGGAAUUCCCGGUGUAGUGGUGGAAUGCGUAGAUAUCGGGAGGAACACCAGAGGCGAAAGCGAUGCCCUGGCAUUGACCUGACGCUCAUGUACGAAAGCGUGGGGAGCAAACGGGAUUAGAUACCCCGGUAGUCCACGCCGUAAACGAUGAGUACUGGGUGUAGGCGGGGUUAGAGCCGUCUGUGCCGAAGCAAACGCGUUAAGUACUCCGCCUGGGGAGUACGGCCGCAAGGCUAAAACUCAAAGGAAUUGACGG
rnacentral:rRNA from 1 species